AUUUCAGUGGUAAUUCAGCAAGAUGGACGAGGAUUUCUCAGAUAUACUUGACUAUUACAUGGAACUAGAUGAGCUAGAUGAAGAACAGGACCACAACAUUUUUACAGAUGAUCAAGAAGCAACCACAAGUGUGUCAAGGGAAGAACAGAAAGAGCAGAACUCAGAAACACCAGAAAUGUCAGAAGAGGAGACUGAUUAUGAAAGUGACAGCAAUGAAAAUCAAGAUGUUCUAUCAAAA